UGGAAUCUUCAGAGUGUUUUCUAUCCAAGUCUACUAAUAAUAUGCAUAUUGUAGUUUCUGGGCCCGAGGAGUAGGCAGUUUAAUUUGGGUACGUUUUUCAUCCGGGCGUGAAAAUACUGCCCCCUAUACCUUAACAGGAUUUAUUAACCCCCAAAAAUAGGACCAUUAUACUGGUAGUUACAGGUGUGGCUAUACAAAAUGUCACCAGAGAUGUUUCAACUGACCUGAUAUUGGUGAUACUAUCUUGUGUAAACGGGAGUCUCAUAAAAUGUCAGGGUCUGGGCGAGGUUAUGGAUAACUUCCGGGUCUCCCGUAAUCCCAUCCAAGGCUGUGGUCGUACCGUGAGCCCGGUGCUUGGAGAAAGGGCACUUUGGCUAAACUUAACAAAGAAAAAGUGGACCUCCUGGAAGCCCCUGUGACACCCAACGGAAACGCUCUCAGUAUAGUAAUGUAGGAUUUUAGGUGUUCUACACAUGAAAUUGUCAUUCCAAACUUUACCUGCAACUGUACAGUAUAUUCCAUUUUGUUGCGACUCAAGCAAUUCUUCUCUGUUCUAGCAGCAGGCUACAUGGAGAAUGUACCACAUCUAAAGACCUGCAAAAGCUAUACUGAGAGCGUUUCUGUUUCUAAAAGGAUGUAUUUGGGUGUUUUUGGAGCAUUUGAUCAUGUUUUUACAGAGCUCCCUUACUGCACAACAAGGAUGAGGAAGUUAAUAUCUAGUUGGGGAAGUUUCUUAAACACAAGUGAAAUCACACAAAAAAUAAAUUGUCUGCGCCCUUCUAGAACAUGCCAUUUACAUAAGAAAUGUAGAUUUUUUUUAAAAAGCAAACUUCUCCUUUAAUGUACCCUUUGCAUAAAUUGUGAUGUAGAAGUUAUAUACUGUAGUAGUUUUGCAAAUUUAAAUCCACUGUCAACCCUAUUCCUUUGCGGUAUCCCACUACGAACUGUGUACCGACACCUGUGGUACUAGCUGUGCCAGCCUGGUGGACUCCUUCACCUACUCUGCUAGCUGCUUCGAGGGCUGCUAGUGCAACGUGAGCUUCGUCUCUGACGGCGACAAGUGUGACUCCAUGGAUACGUGCGGAUACGUCUACGAAGGCCACUAUCUGAUGGGCUGGUGAGGUGUGAGAAGCUGAUCUGUGCCAGAGGAGAGUUCAGUGGGCUGAAGGACUGUCAGAGGAUGCCAAUGCAAGCAGGGGCACUGCAUGGUCCACCAUGGUAUCCACUUCACCUCCUUCAAUGGCAUGAGGAGGCCAUGGGGAUAGGGGUGUUCGAGGUGGCCUCUGUGUGACCAGACCUUUGGCCAGUGGUUCAUUGUGGUGGUGGAUGCACGCGUCUAGUAAGGGAGCCUAUCCCAAUGUGGCUACAGUCUAAGUGUUCUCCAUGGAUGUCACUGUCAACAGCCAGCACAACACCUGGAUCAACGGCCAGAAUGUCCAUCCCCAGCACUCCAGACAAUCAGCGUCGCCGACAGGACAGUGGUCAUCGAGAGGGUGUCCCCUACUCCAUCUCCCAGGAGCUCUUGGUUACUAUUGACAACCACCUGGCGGGCAAGGUGUGCGGUGCUGCGGCAACUACAACGGUAUUGUCAAGGAAGACAUAACAGCCAACAGGCAAUCCUCCACAGAUGUGACUGUGAUCGUUGGGGACUUCUCUAGCU